GCCUAAAGUAAAUUGCACACUCCCAAGAAAAUGAUUGCGUGUGACGGGUUUGGUGCCUGGGAGCAGAACAAAAGCUGAUCUGUAAUUUUAAAGGUAAACAGGCUAAUUUCUUAGAACUCUGGUUACACCCUCACUGACACACCCACAUACUUCAUCUCACGUGUUGCCAUAUAAAUAGAGAUGUGAAAACAGACAUCAGACACAAAUCCUCUCUCUUUCUGCUUCAGGACUCUUCAAGACGUUUUACUGCACCAAGGCAAAAUGAGUGACCCCAAUGCUCAGCCACCUGUGGAUUCAAACAACGGCGCACACAAAGGAAAAGGCCAUGAACACGGAAAAGGCCAUGAACACGGAAAAGGCCAUGAACACGGAAAAGGCCAUGAGCACGGAAAAGGCCAUGAGCACGGAAAAGGCCAUGAACACGGAAAAGGAGCUGAACACGGGUGUGGCAAAGGGAAACCUGGCUGUGGCAAAUAAAUAAUGACAAAAUCACUGAAUCAUCAUUUUGUGGUCACUGUUAAGAGAUAAAUAUGUCUCCAAUAAACUAAUAUAGAAAACAA